AACGAGACCUUAACCUGCUAAAUAGCCCGUAUUGCUUUGGCAGUACGCUGGCUUCUUAGAGGGACUAUCGGCUCAAGCCGAUGGAAGUUUGAGGCAAUAACAGGUUGAAUUCACAGGCCUGUAAUAGUAUGCCUCGUUAAAUAUAAUGCUAGUCUAAUAUCUUAAUCUCUUUGGAAGAAUGUCUUCCGUUAUCGGGAAGAGAUGCACAGCGUUUACUGCUGUGCUUGAUAUAGGCGACACUACCUGG
rnacentral:rRNA from 1 species